rnacentral:misc_RNA from 1 species
AAGUCGUAACAAGGUUUCCGUAGGUGAACCUGCGGAAGGAUCAUUAUUGAAAUAAACCUGAUGAGUUGCUGCUGGUUCUCUAGGGAACAUGUGCACAUUUAUCGUUUUAUAUUUCCACCUGUGCAUCUAUUGUAGAUUUUGGAUAUCUUUCUGAAUGCUUUUGUAGCAUGUCAGGUUUGGGGAUUGACUUUCAUGUCUGUCUUUGCAUUUCCAGGUCUAUGUUUCUUCAAUAUACCCCAAUGUAUGUUAUAGAAUGUAUUAAGUGGGCCCUUUGUGCCUAUAAACUUAUACAACUUUCAGCAACGGAUCUCUUGGCUCUC